rnacentral:rRNA from 1 species
AGAGUUUGAUCCUGGCUCAGGAUUAACGCUGGCGGCAUGCCUAAUACAUGCAAGUCGAACGGAACCAAUUUAUUGGUUUAGUGGCGAACGGGUGAGUAAUGUAUGUUUAAUCUGCCCAAAUGUCUGGAAUAACUAUUGGAAACGAUAGCUAAUACCUGAUAGGGUAUAGGGGGGCAUCCCCUUAUGCUUAAAGGCGCGUUUGCGUCGCUUUUGGAUGAGAACAUAUUACAUUAGUUAGUUGGUGGGGUAAUGGCCUACCAAGAUUAUGAUGUAUAGCCGAACUGAGAGGUUAAUCGGCCACAAUGGGACUGAGACACGGCCCAUACUCCUACGGGAGGCAGCAGUAGGGAAUUUUUCACAAUGGACGAAAGUCUGAUGAAGCAAUGCCGCGUGAAGGAUGAAGGUCUUCGGAUCGUAAACUUCUGUCGUAAAGAAAGAAAUGUUAAAUAAGGAAAUGUUUUUAACUUGACGUUACUUUACUAGAAAGUCACGGCAAACUAUGUGCCAGCAGCCGCGGUAAUACAUAGGUGGCAAGCGUUAUCCGGAUUUAUUGGGCGUAAAGAGUGCACAGGCGGUUUGUUAAGUCAGUUGUUAAAGACCAAAGCUCAACUUUGGUAUGCAAUUGAAACUGGCAGACUAGAAUACAGGUGGGGGCAAUGGAAUUCCAUGUGUAGCGGUGGAAUGCAUAAAUAUGUGGAGGAACACCAAUGGCGAAGGCAGUUGCCUGAACUGUAAUUGACGCUUAAGCACGAAAGCGUGGGGAGCAAAUAGGAUUAGAUACCCUAGUAGUCCACGCCGUAAACGAUCUAAACUAGAUGUUGCCGUUUUAUUUUGGCAGUAUCGCAGCUAACGCAUUAAGUUUAGCGCCUGGGUAGUACGCACGCAAGUGUGAAACUCAAAGGAAUUGACGG